CGCUCCCUGGAAAGGCAAGCAGGUGGGUGGCUGUGGGCAGCAGGGUGCUGUCCCUGUUGAAGGCUGGCGUAGCGGCUUCCUCCUCCAGUUUGGCUUCUUUCCCUUUGUGGGCAUGUCGUGUCUUCUGCAUCGCAAAUCAACAGGGGAGAAUCAGUACUCCAGCACUUCCUUCUGCCGGCCAGGUUCCACCCCUGUGGCUUCCCUAUGACAUCUGCUUCCACCUGGCCCAAGCUGCCCAUGAGCAGGUGGCCAGAAGAAAAG
rnacentral:lncRNA from 1 species